rnacentral:rRNA from 1 species
CCUACGGGAGGCAGCAGUGGGGAAUAUUGGACAAUGGGGGAAACCCUGAUGCAGCGACGCCGCGUGAAGGAAGAAGUAUUUCGGUAUGUAAACUUCUAUCAGCAGGGAAGAAAAUGACGGUACCUGACUAAGAAGCCCCGGCUAACUACGUGCCAGCAGCCGCGGUAAUACGUAGGGGGCAAGCGUUAUCCGGAGUUACUGGGUGUAACGGGAGCGUAGGCGGCGAUGCAAGUCAGAAGUGAAAGCCUGGGGCUCAACUCCGGGACUGCUUUUGAAACUGUAUGGCUAGAUUGCAGGAGAGGCAAGUGGAAUUCGUGGUGUAGCGGUGAAAUGCGUAGAUAUUAGGAGGAACACCAGUGGCGAAGGCGGCUUACUGGACUGUAAAUGACGCUGAGGCUCGAAAGCGUGGGGAGCAAACAGGAUUAGAUACCCUAGUAGUC